rnacentral:tRNA from 1 species
GCCGUCGUAGCUCAGCCCGGGAGAGCACUCGGCUGAAGACCGAGCUGUCGUGAGCUCAAAUCUCACCGACGGCA